rnacentral:rRNA from 1 species
GAAACACGGACCAAGGAGUCUAGCAUGUGCGCGAGUCAUUGGGAUCAACUAAACCUAAAGGCGCAAUGAAAGUGAAGGUCCGCCUCGCGCGGACCGAGGGAAGACGGGCGUCGACCCAUUCGGCGGCGCCCCGCACUCCCGGGGCGUCUCGUUCUCAUUGCGAGAAGAGGCGCACCAAGAGCGUACACGCUGGGACCCGAAAGAUGGUGAACUAUGCCUGGUCAGGACGAAGUCAGGGGAAACCCUGAUGGAGGUCCGUAGCGAUUCUGACGUGCAAAUCGAUCGUCAGAACUGGGUAUAGGGGCGAAAGACUAAUCGAACCAUCUAGUAGCUGGUUCCCUCCGAAGUUUCCCUCAGGAUAGCUGGCGCUCGUCGUCUACGAGUCUCAUUCGGUAAAGCGAAUGAUUAGAGGCAUUGGGGUCGAAACGGCCUCAACCUAUUCUCAAACUUUAAAUGAGUGAGAUCUCCGGCUUGCUUGAACUCAUGAAGCCGCGAGACUUGGAUCAGAGUGCCAAGUGGGCCAUUUUUGGUAAGCAGAACUGGCGCUGUGGGAUGAACCAAACGCCGAGUUAAAGCGCCUAAAUCGACGCUUAUGGGAUACCAUGAAAGGCGUUGGUAACUUAAGACAGCAGGACGGUGGCCAUGGAAGUCGGAAUCCG